GACGCCGCGUGGAGGAUGAAGGCCUUCGGGUUGUAAACUCCUUUUCUGGGGGACGAAUAAGGUCAGCAGGCAAUGGUUGACCGAUGACGGUACCCCAGGAACAAGCGCCGGCUAACUUCGUGCCAGCACCGUCGGUGACUGAGCGGGCUGGCAAGGCGCAUA
rnacentral:rRNA from 1 species